CCUAAGGCGAGGCCGAAAGGCGUAGUCGAUGGAAGACAGGUAGAUAUUCCUGUACUACCGAUAAAUCGUUAACAGAGGCGGAGGGACGCAGGAGGAUAGGCAUGCAAGCGACUGGAAGAGCUUGUAAAAGCGUGUAGGUAGAGUCAGUAGGAAAAUCCGCUGAUUCGUUAAAAACUGAGGCGUGAAAAGGAGUCUCUACGGAGACGAAGAUGUUGAAUCCACACUGCCAAGAAAAACUUCGCUAUCGAGAUUUAUAGGUAUCCGUACCGAAAACCGCCACAGGUAGGUUGGUAGAGAAUACUAAGGUGCGCGAGAUAACUCUCGCUAAGGAACUCGGCAAAAUGACCUCGUAACUUCGGGAGAAGAGGUACCCUGUUAGAGUGAAGGACCACGCGUCUGGAGCUUGAUAGGGUCGCAGUGAAUAGGCCCAAGCGACUGUUUACCAAAAACACAGGUCUCUGCAAAGUCGAUCAAGACGAUGUAUAGGGGCUGACGCCUGCCCGGUGUCGGAAGGUUACGCGGAAGGGUAAGAGGCAACUCGAAGCUCAGAAGCUAAGCCCCGAUGAACGGCGGCCGUAACUAUAACGGUCCUAAGGUAGCGAAAUUCCUUGUCAGGUAAGUUCUGACCCGCACGAAUGGCGUAACGAUUUGGGCGCUGUCUCGGCGAGAGGCUCGGCGAAAUUGGAUUAUCCGUGAAGAUACGGAUUACGUAUACCAGGACAGAAAGACCCUAUUGAGCUUUACUGUAGCUUGAAAUUGAAUUCGGGUUCUUAUUGUGCAGUAUAGGUGGGAGACAUUGAAGCAGGGACGUCAGUUUCUGUGGAGUCAUCGUUGAGAUACCACUCUGUAAUAAUUUGAAUUCUAACACUGAGCCCUCGAAGAACAGGGCAGUGGACAGUUUCUGGUAGGCAGUUUGACUGGGGCGGUCGCCUCCUAAAAAGUAACGGAGGCGUUCAAAGGUUCCCUCAGGUUGGUCGGAAAUCAACCAAUGAGUGCAAUAGCAAAAGGGAGCUUGACUGCGAGACCAACAAGUCGAGCAGGUGCGAAAGCAGGAUAUAGUGAUCCGGUGGUUCUGCAUGGAAGGGCCAUCGCUCAUCGGAUAAAAGUUACCAUAGGGAUAACAGGCUUAUCUCCCCCAAGAGUCCACAUCGACGGGGAGGUUUGGCACCUCGAUGUCGGCUCGUCGCAUCCUGGAGCGGUAGUACGUUCCAAGGGUUGGGCUGUUCGCCCAUUAAAGCGGCACGCGAGCUGGGUUCAGAACGUCGUGAGACAGUUCGGUCCAUAUCCGGUAUACGCGCAAGAGAUUUGAACGGAGUCUUCCUUAGUACGAGAGGACCGGGAAGAGGGGACCUCCAGUGUACGGGUUAUCGCGCCAGCGGUAAACGCCCGGUAGCUGUGUUCCAAGCGGAUAAGUGCUGAAAGCAUAUAAGUACGAAGCCCACCGUAAGAUAAGAUCUCUCAUAGCAGAAGCUAGUAAGUCCCGUUGCAGAAAACGACGUAGAUAGGUCAGAGGUGUAAGUAUGGCAACAUAUUCAGCCGACUGAAACUAAUAGGACGAGGGCUUUUCCUA
rnacentral:rRNA from 1 species